AAGGGGGCGGGCCGCGUGGAGCUGUAAUGGGGGGGGGGCGAGCUUGUAUCGGAAUGACGGGGGGUAAAGAGAACGUAGGCGGGGUCGUAAGUCUGUGGUGAAAUCGUGGAGCGCAACCCGAGAACUGCCUCCGAUACUUAGAGGCUUGAAUCCGGGAGGGGUGAGCGGAACUGCGAGUGUAGAGGUGAAAUGCGUAGAUAUGCGCAAGAACACCAAUGGCGAAGGCAGCUAACUGGGCAGGUACUGACGCUGAGGUGCGAAAGCGUGGGGAGCAAACAGGAUUAGAUACCCGGGUAGUC
rnacentral:rRNA from 1 species